UACAUGUAAGUAUGUUAUUCAUAGUUGCUGCAGAUGGUAUAUGUGGCAUAUGCGGUCUGAAUCGGAAUGUCUGGCUCUAUGAGUUAACUUCAUUAUUCUUAUCAACGGGAAAAUGUCGGAGAUACUUACGUAUGUACAUAUACAAACAUACAUAUAUAUGUACAUACAUGUAGGUACGUAUGUGAAAGCAAGUACAUUAUGUACGCAAAGAGAAAGAUAACGAAUGCAGAGGAAGCAGCUGAAUAAGGGGAAUACGGCAGAGAUUGUGAAUUCUCGGAACCAAAUUCCCAUACAUUUAUUUCGAGCAAGACAUUCCAUGAAAGUAAAAAACAGGAGGAACUGCGACGUCGACGUCGGCAGAGCGAACAGCGCCCGACCUACGACCACAUUAAAAGAGAGAGAGAAAGAGAAAGCGGGAGAGCGCAUGGAAGAGCAAAGCCAAAAGAAUGGCAAAACAGAAAGAGCGAGGGAGACAGCCGGCAAAACGUCAGUGGGAAUGUUAGUAACAUGCGGAAGUGCACUGCAUGCUGUUAUUUUCGCUUUCUGUUUUCCCGCUGUUAUCGAUAUCAUAUUAUGUGCCGAUAUUUGAAAAGUAUUUCGCGGUCAACCGCAUAGUAAAUAUCACCAGAUAAUAGCAAAUUUGAUGUUACCAAACAUUAGAGUUGAAAACAUUCUACAUAUUCCUUAAUGAAAUAUUCUUCUGUCGCUGAAACGUUGGGCCUAUCAGCUGUUCUUUCAUUUGCACUUUCAUUCCAUUACACUGAAAAAUAAAGAGCAGAAUCGUGGCAGAAUGCAAACAGAGAAGCAGCAGUGCCCGAAAAAACCAAAUAGACCAAAAAGGGGAGCGCUAUGUGGGCGGAAAGUGGGUGGUGUGCAGGCAUUCCGUGAGUUUCUCAGCGGCAGCAAAGCCAAGAAAGAAGUGCAGAAAAAAAAGAAAACAUUGAGGGGCAAAAAC